GCGCGUGUAGCUCAGUGGUAGAGCACUGCUUUGACAUAGCAGGGGUAGAAAGUUCGAUCCUUUCCACGCGCACCA
rnacentral:tRNA from 1 species